AUGGCGAGGCCGGCACUUGCGGGAUCCGUCACCGACGUUGCCCAGUUAGGCCAUUCCCCUCCUUCCUUGCUUGGAUCCGCCAUCUCCUCCUCACCUUCUCCUCCUAUCUGUGCCUUUGCUACAGGUCACCAUGGCGCGGAGGAGGAGGGGGCACACCUAGCCGCCAGCCCUGCUCUGCUCGAGGAGGAGGGGCCUGCUCCUAGGGUGACCAAGAGGUCCUGCACGAGCUCAAGCAUGGCCAUGAUGACCCACCACGGCAGGUAUAUCUCCAUCUCCCUCCCCUUCUUCCACUACUCACUACUGCUGCUAAGUUGA
rnacentral:rRNA from 1 species